GUGCUCACUUUGGUGGCAUAUAUACUAAAAUUGGGAUGAUACAGAGGUUAGCAUGACCCCUGUGCAAGGAUGACACACAAAUUUGUGAAACGUUUCAAAAUUUU